rnacentral:misc_RNA from 1 species
UCCCCAUUAACUGAGGCAGUUUUCUGUGAGAAAUACAACACAGAAUGCGGGUUGCGCUCGUUGACCGACUGAACGGGACACUUCACAGCACGAGCUGACGACAACCGUGCAACACCUGUCACCUGGUUCCUUGCGGCACGGUCCUGUUUCCAGGACUUUCCAGGGAUGUCAAACCUCGGUAAGGUUCUUCGCUUAAUGACGAAUUAAACCCCACGCUCCACCACUUGUGCAGGUCCCCGUCAAUUCCUUUGAGUUUUAAACUUGCGUUCGUACUCCCCAGGCGGCUCACUUAACGCGUUAGCUACGGUCCAAAAGGGGGUCGAUACCCUCCAAGACCUAGUGAGCAUCGUUUACGGCGUGGACUAC